UGAAGCCAAGCUUGCUUGGUGGAUCAGUGGCGAACGGGUGAGUAACACGUGAGCAACCUGCCCUGGACUCUGGGAUAAGCGCUGGAAACGGCGUCUAAUACUGGAUAUGAGACGUGAUCGCAUGGUCGUGUUUGGAAAGAUUUUUCGGUCUGGGAUGGGCUCGCGGCCUAUCAGCUUGUUGGUGAGGUAAUGGCUCACCAAGGCGUCGACGGGUAGCCGGCCUGAGAGGGUGACCGGCCACACUGGGACUGAGACACGGCCCAGACUCCUACGGGAGGCAGCAGUGGGGAAUAUUGCACAAUGGGCGGAAGCCUGAUGCAGCAACGCCGCGUGAGGGAUGACGGCCUUCGGGUUGUAAACCUCUUUUAGCAGGGAAGAAGCGAAAGUGACGGUACCUGCAGAAAAAGCGCCGGCUAACUACGUGCCAGCAGCCGCGGUAAUACGUAGGGCGCAAGCGUUAUCCGGAAUUAUUGGGCGUAAAGAGCUCGUAGGCGGUUUGUCGCGUCUGCUGUGAAAUCCCGAGGCUCAACCUCGGGCCUGCAGUGGGUACGGGCAGACUAGAGUGCGGUAGGGGAGAUUGGAAUUCCUGGUGUAGCGGUGGAAUGCGCAGAUAUCAGGAGGAACACCGAUGGCGAAGGCAGAUCUCUGGGCCGUAACUGACGCUGAGGAGCGAAAGGGUGGGGAGCAAACAGGCUUAGAUACCCUGGUAGUCCACCCCGUAAACGUUGGGAACUAGUUGUGGGGACCAUUCCA
rnacentral:rRNA from 1 species